rnacentral:rRNA from 1 species
UACGUAGGGUGCGAGCGUUGUCCGGAAUUACUGGGCGUAAAGCGCGCGUAGGCGGUUUGUCGCGUCUGCCGUGAAAGUCCGGGGCUCAACUCCGGAUCUGCGGUGGGUACGGGCAGACUAGAGUGAUGUAGGGGAGACUGGAAUUCCUGGUGUAGCGGUGAAAUGCGCAGAUAUCAGGAGGAACACCGAUGGCGAAGGCAGGUCUCUGGGCAUUAACUGACGCUGAGGAGCGAAAGCAUGGGGAGCGAACAGG